CCUACGGGUGGCAGCAGUGGGGAAUAUUGGGCAAUGGGCGCAAGCCUGACCCAGCAAAGCCGCGUGAAGGAAGAAGGCUCUCGGGUUGUAAACUUCCUUGUCAGGGGAAGCGAAGAAGACGGUGCCCUGACAACAAGACACGGCUAACUAAGUGCCAGCAGCCGCGGUAAUACGUAGGUGGCAAGCGUUGUCCGGAUUUACUGGGGUUAAAGGGCGUGUAGCCGGGAAGGCAAGUCAGAUGUGAAAUCCGGGGGCUCAACCUCCGAAUUGCAGUUGAAACUGUUGUUCGUGAGUACUGGAGAGGCAGACGGAAUGCCUUGUGUAGCGGUGAAAUGCGUAGAUAUAAGGAGGAACACCAGUGGCGAAGGCGGUCUGCUGGACAGCAACUGACGGUGAGGCGCGAAAGCGUGGGGAGCAAACAGGAUUAGAUACCCUUGUAGUC
rnacentral:rRNA from 1 species